rnacentral:tRNA from 1 species
CGCGAGGUAGAGCAGUCUGGUAGCUCGUCGGGCUCAUAACCCGGAGGUCGGAGGUUCAAAUCCUCCCCUCGCAACCA